UAUUGGUCAAUGGAGGCGAGUCUGAACCAGCCAAGUAGCGUGAAGGAUGACUGCCCUAUGGGUUGUAAACUUCUUUUAUAUGGGAAUAAAGUUUUCCACGUGUGGAAUUUUGUAUGUACCAUCUGAAUAAGGAUCGGCGAAAUUCGUGACAGCAGACGCGGUAAUACGGAGGAUCCGAGCGUUAUCCGGAUUGAUUGGGUUUAAAGGGAGCGUAGGUGGACAGUUAAGUCAGUUGUGAAAGUUUGCGGCUCAACCGUAAAAUUGCAGUUGAUACUGGCUGUCUUGAGUACAGUAGAGGUGGGCGGAAUUCGUGGUGUAGCGGUGAAAUGCUUAGAUAUCACGAAGAACUCCGAUUGCGAAGGCAGCUCACUGGACUGCAACUGACACUGAUGCUCGAAAGUGUGGGUAUCAAA
rnacentral:rRNA from 1 species